rnacentral:rRNA from 1 species
UUUUUAUGGAGAGUUUGAUCCUGGCUCAGGAUGAACGCUGGCGGCGUGCCUAAUACAUGCAAGUCGAGCGAACAGACGAGGAGCUUGCUCCUCUGACGUUAGCGGCGGACGGGUGAGUAACACGUGGAUAACCUACCUAUAAGACUGGGAUAACUUCGGGAAACCGGAGCUAAUACCGGAUAAUAUAUUGAACCGCAUGGUUCAAUAGUGAAAGACGGUUUUGCUGUCACUUAUAGAUGGAUCCGCGCCGCAUUAGCUAGUUGGUAAGGUAACGGCUUACCAAGGCGACGAUGCGUAGCCGACCUGAGAGGGUGAUCGGCCACACUGGAACUGAGACACGGUCCAGACUCCUACGGGAGGCAGCAGUAGGGAAUCUUCCGCAAUGGGCGAAAGCCUGACGGAGCAACGCC